CUACAACCAACUGUGGAUAAGUGCAAUGGCGUCUUGCAUGGCGCCAUACCUUCCUCCUCUUGCCACUUCAAGAGGCAUCCAAGCGUGGGAGUACGGACUUAUCUUCUCAGCGUUCACCGUCUCAUCCUUGCCAGGAUCGGUGUUGGCUGGAAUAUUGGGUUCGUUAGAGUGCAUCGGUGGAGUCGGAGGAAUCCUUGGCCAAGUUAUUGG